rnacentral:miRNA from 8 species
AAAAGUUCAUUAGGGUUUUUCU